AGGUAGCGAAAUUCCUUGUCAGGUAAGUUCUGACCCGCACGAAAGGUGUAACGAUUUGGGCGCUGUCUCGGCAGCAGACUCGGUGAAAUCUUAGUACCUGUGAAAAUGCAGGUUACCCGCAACUAGACGGAAAGACCCCAUGGAGCUUUACUGCAGCCUGAUAUUGAAUUCUGGUCAUACAUGUACAGGAUAGGUGGGAGACAAAGAGACGUGCACGCCAGUGUACGAGGAGUCGACGUUGGGAUACCACUCUUGUGUGACCGGGGUUCUAACCUGGUAUCGAGAACAGGUACGGGGAGAGUGUCAGGUGGGCAGUUUGACUGGGGCGGUCGCCUCCCAAAGAGUAACGGAGGCGCCCAAAGGUACGCUCAGAUUGGAUGGAAACCAAUCGGCGAGUGCAAUUGCAGAAGCGUGCUUGACUGUGAGACUUACAAGUCGAACAGGGACGAAAGUCGGGAAUAGUGAUCCGGCGGUGCCGAAUGGAAGGGCCGUCGCUCAACGGAUAAAAGCUACCCUGGGGAUAACAGGCUGAUCUCCCCCAAGAGUCCACAUCGACGGGGAGGUUUGGCACCUCGAUGUCGGCUCAUCGCAUCCUGGGGCUGUAGUAGGUCCCAAGGGUUGGGCUGUUCGCCCAUUAAAGCGGUACGCGAGCUGGGUUCAGAACGUCGUGAGACAGUUCGGUCCCUAUCUGUUGUGGGCGAAGGAGAUCUGCGGAGAGCUGUCCUCAGUACGAGAGGACCGGGAUGGACCUACCGCUGGUGCACCGGUUGUUCCGCCAGGGGCAUAGCCGGGUAGCUAAGUAGGGAAAGGAUAAGCGCUGAAAGCAUCUAAGCACGAAGCCUACUCCAAGAUGAGAUCUCCCAUUCGCAAGAAGUAAGACCCCUUAAAGACGAUAAGGUAGAUAGGCCAGGGAUGGAAGUGCAGUGAUGUACGGAGUUGACUGGUACUAAUCGGUCGAGGACUUAAUCAG
rnacentral:rRNA from 1 species